UACGUAGGGGGCAAGCGUUGUCCGGAUUAUUGGCGUAAAGCGCGUGUAGGCGGCCAUGUAGGUCUGACGUGAAAUUCCGAGGCUCAACCUUCGGCAGGUCGUUGGAAACCAUAUGGAGCUAGAGUCCGGAAGAGGAGAGUGGAAUUCCGUGGAUGUAGCGGUGAAAUGCGCAGAUAUCAGGAAGAACACCAAUGGCGAAGGCAGCUCCUCGUGGGACGGUACUGACGCUGAGACGCGAAAGCCGUGGGAGCGAA
rnacentral:rRNA from 1 species